rnacentral:rRNA from 1 species
AUUUGGUAGCAAUACUGAAUUGAGAGUGACGUAAGGGUGCGUAACACGUAUGCAAUCUGCCCUCAACAGGAGUAUAGCUCGGGGAAACUCGGAUUAACCCUCCAUAAGAUCACACGAAGGCAUCUGAGAGUGAUUAAAACGCAAGUGGUUGAGGAUGAGCAUGCGCAUGAUUAGUUAGUUGGUAGGGUAACGGCCUACCAAGACGAUGAUCAUUAGGGGAACUGAGAGGUUGAUCCCCCACACUGGCACUGAGAUACGGGCCAGACUCCUACGGGAGGCAGCAGUAGGGAAUAUUGCACAAUGGGCGAAAGCCUGAUGCAGCAAUGCCGCGUGUGUGAAGAAGGCCUGCGGGUUGUAAAGCACUUUCAGUAGGGAGGAAACAGUAACGGAACAAUACCCGUUGCCUUGACGUUACCUACAGAAGAAGCACCGGCUAACUCUGUGCCAGCAGCCGCGGUAAUACAGAGGGUGGCAAGCGUUGUUCGGAUCCACUGGGCGUACAGGGAGCGUAGGCGGUUGGGUAAGCCCUCCGUGAAAUCUCCGGGCCUAACCCGGAAAGUGCAGAGGGGACUGCUCAGCUAGAGGAUGGGAGAGGAGCGCGGAAUUCCCGGUGUAGCGGUGAAAUGCGUAGAGAUCGGGAGGAAGGCCGGUGGCGAAGGCGGCGCUCUGGAACAUUUCUGACGCUGAGGCUCGAAAGCGUGGGGAGCAAACAGGAUUAGAUACCCUGGUAGUCCACGCCUUAAACUAUGGAUACUAAGUGUCGGCGGUUUACCGCCGGUGCCGCAGCUAACGCAAUAAGUA